rnacentral:tRNA from 1 species
UCCCUGGUAGUUUAGUGGCUAAGAUCCUGUGCUCUCAAUGCAGGGGCCCAGGUUCAAUCCCUGAUUGGGGAA